rnacentral:rRNA from 1 species
CGGCGGACGGGUGAGUAACGCGUAGGUAACCUGCCUCAUACAGGGGAUAACAGUUAGAAAUGGCUGCUAAUACCGCAUAAGACCACGGUACUGCAUGGUACAGUGGUAAAAACUCCGGUGGUAUGAGAUGGCCCCGCGUCUGAUUAGGUAGUUGGUGAGGUAACGGCCCACCAAGCCGACGAUCAGUAGCCGACCUGAGAGGGUGACCGGCCACAUUGGGACUGAGACACGGCCCAG